GCAGAAACUAUUGAGGUGGGAUGAACUCUCACCCUGCGGAAGAUCUCGCGUUAACACUUUGUGGUUACCAGGGGAACGAGAGCCUGAGAAGUAGCGCUUGACUUGAGGUCUCUGCUUUUGCUCAUCGAAAUGAACACCGGAGAUACAGCGUUACAUUUGUAAUUCACAGAUACGUUUGUCAGAGAAAAUAAAUAAUAUCCUGCAAAAUGCCGUCACCACAAGUCCUCCAGCCAGUUCUUAAGAUGAAGGUGGACGAGCUAUUUCUCAACUGGUUGAGUGAUACUGCAACCCAGUCACUACUCAAAGAGUAUCUUGACCUAAUCAAAAGUGGACAACACAUUGAUUUGAGCAGUGGGGACGCCCAGGAUAAAAGGUUGUUGACCUUCAAUGAGAACAACAAUGUGGCAUCCCAAAGGAACCUGGCAGAGAAGAAGCCCGCUCCUCUCGGUACUCCCUCCAGCCCCCCGUCUGCCAGUACACUACCCUCAGGCAGCAGCAGCAAUACCAGAGUGACAGGACCCAAUGGCAGAGUACUACGGAGGUCUGUCAGCACAAAAAAGGCCCAGGUGAGGACGGAGGAGCCCGUCACCACAGCCCUGAGUGAAAGCAUUCCAAAGUUUUACUUCCCACAGGGCCAGCCCCAAGCCAACGUCAACAUCGACAGCCUCAUUUCCAAAAUUGAGAAAGUAUUUUCCCAAUUCCCAAAUGAAAGGGCCACCAUUGAGGACAUGGGGCAGGUCGCCAAGGCCUGUGAGUGUCCUCUAUACUGGAAAAUGCCAUUGUUCUGCUUGGCUGGAGGCGACAGGACCGGUUUCAUGUCCGUUCACAAGUUUGUGGCUAUGUGGAGAAAAACUCUGCAGACCUGUCACGACGACGCUUCUAAAUUUGUGCACCUCUUGGCCAAGCCUGGCUGUAAUUACCUGGAACAAGACGACUUUAUUCCAUUCCUGCAGGAUGUGGUGAACUCACACGCAGGCCUGGCCUUCCUAAAGGAGGCGCCGGACUUUCACUCACGAUACAUCACCACGGUGAUUCAGAGGAUAUUCUACAAUGUGAACCGUUCAUGGACUGGGAAAAUAACGUGUUCUGAGCUCAGGAAAAGUAACUUUCUACAGAAUUUGGCGUUGCUGGAGCAGGAAGAGGACGUGAACCAGCUGACAGAGUUUUUCUCCUAUGAACAUUUCUAUGUAAUCUACUGCAAGUUCUGGGAGUUGGACACUGACCAUGACCUCUACAUAGACCAGAAGGACCUGGCACAGCACAAUGACCAAGCCAUCUCCCAUAAGAUGAUUGAGAGAAUAUUCUCAGGAACAGUAACAAGAGACAGAAAAGUGUACAAGGAGGGGCGGCUGAGUUAUGCCGAUUUUGUCUGGUUCCUCAUCUCUGAGGAGGACAAGAAGACCGACACCAGUAUAGAGUACUGGUUCCGCUGUAUGGACCUGGAUGGGGAUGGGGUGCUCAGCAUGUACGAGCUGGAGUACUUCUACGAGGAUCAGUGCCAAAAGCUGGAGACCAUGGCUAUUGAGCCCCUUCCCUUUGAGGACUGCCUCUGCCAAAUGCUUGACCUUGUGAAGCCGGAGGUCGAAGGUAAGAUCACUCUGAGGGACCUUAAAAGGUGCAAGUUGUCCCACAUCUUCUUCGACACUUUCUUCAACAUCGAGAAGUACCUGGACCACGAGCAGCGAGACCCAUUCUCAGUUAUAAAGGAGAUGGAGCCAGACGGUCAGGAGGUCUCGGACUGGGAGAAAUAUGCUGCAGAGGAGUACGACAUCCUCGUGGCUGAGGAGGCCGCCAACGAUCAGUGCAAUGGCGUCAGAGCCCCUCUGAGAGUGAGCCAGUGAUAGAUGAGGCUGUUGACAGGUAUGUUGUGUGGCGGUUUUAGGAACACCACCGACUUCUAAAGACAGGCUUCUAACCAGAGCAGGUAUGAUAAUCCUUUGAGCCCUUUAGGGCAGCACAUCUCCAGUGAGCUGGGUCUGACAAAGAGACACUUCUUUGAGAUCCCCAGUCCACACUGCAACCUGGACCUGGAUGAAUAUGAAUAUGAAGAUGACUUUGAAUGACCCUCGAUCACGUAGCGUUUUCUCACACGCCUGCUGAGCGCUGUGCGCUCCCAGAAACAGAGCUUAACCAGCAGUGUUAGUGGAUGAAUCGCAUCAAGCCAGAGAUUCCCAGGUUCCGGCCCCGUUCCCAGUAACGGGACAUACUUUAAUAAACACGAAACACUGUCAGAGCACUGGUGGGGUCAGAUGUGCUGGGGAAACGGACACAGUAUCAGAAGGUGGUUCUUCACAAUACUUUACUAUGCCAGUUGUUUUAAUACUUUCACCUGUCACACUUAAAGAAGUCACCACAGCUGACUUCAUGAUGUCACAAGCAGCAUGUUCAGGCCUUUGCUCCAUUUACACAGGAAAAGUUGUUUGUGCACGAAAUGCAUUGUAUUAUUUAUUUCUACUGAAGUACAGUACAUCUCAGUACUGUGAUCACAUUCACAUGAGCUAAAUCAUUCUUUACACACGGGAGCUCCCUGGAUUGUUGGACAGAAACUAUGUUGAUUUGAUUCAGGGUUUGAACUAAUUAUCAUCUGAAGUUAUUGGCUAACGUUACAUUCCAGUGAUCAUAACGGAAAGUUUUCUAUAGGACUGUAAAUUCAUUAAUGGUUGUUAAAUGAGAAGAUACCGUAAAUGCCAAACAAGACACCGUUGAGCCUGCUGCACACACAGUUCACACUGCCACAAACACUGUAUAUUGUACAGGUCUGUACUCAUUAUGAUGUAGAUUACUGUAUGUGUGAGAUGGGGUUGUUAUUAAAUUAUUAGAGAUGGAUUUAUAAAUAACUGUAUAUAUUUAUUUGGUGCUUGCUGUGUUGUAAAUGAUUUGGGAAAGUGUUUUAGACAAAUUCUUUUUUCUAUGUUAUCAAGUACUUAACUGUAUUGUACUUUGACAGAACAAAAGGAACCAAUUUUAAAAUGUUUUGCUUUUCUUUAAAUGAAUAAAGCCUUGGGUUAAUGUAAGAGUUAA